ACUCUCCCCAAUUCUGCCGACAUAGAGAGAGAGAGAGGAAGGAGGAAGCCACGGCUAAAGGGAGGGAGGAAGGAGAGAUCCGUUUUCGACGAUCCAACUCGGUGACAAGUAACGAGCCGGUCUUUUAGGAGGUGCCGAAACCGUAAGUUUGGCAUACUCCAGUCGAAUGAAAGGUGAGUGUGUCUGAUAUGAUUCUUCUCAAUAAGAUAUUGCGAUGGUGGUAUGUAUAUAUCUUGCUAAUGGUAUUUUAGCUUUCAAUAUGAUUAUCGAUAUGGAAAUAAUGCGGUGGAGGUGAUUAUAUAUCAAUGAUAUCAUGCUAAUCGAGGUUUAGCUAUUGAUAUGGAUAUAUGUGGUGGAAAUUUGUAUAUCAUGCUAUAUGUUGUCUUAGCUAAUGAUAUGCAUGCUUGUUGUAUGUUGAUUGUACCCGCGAAAGGAUUGUGGAGUGAGUCACACCAUAUCGUGGGCCGUGCCGUCUAAUUAACGGUGAAUGGGAGUGUGGUGUGCGGGACACAAUUCCUUGGGUACAUGGGAUGUGGCAGACGUGCCACUGUGUGUUGGUGUUUAUACAUGUGGUUAUACGAUUGAGUACUUAUGUUGAGUUUCGUGUGAUUUACAUUCAUGCCGUUAUUGUUAUGUGGUUGUUUAUUGAAUAAUAUUGCUAUGUUUGGCAGAUGUGGUGGUUAUAACCAAUGUACUCAUAUGGGUAUUGCAGUUAUGUUGGUGGUGAAUAUUCUUAUUGAUAUUCUUUUGGGUAUUGUGACAUUUUAUUGAGCAUUUCUAUAUCUCACACACUCUGGCUUUCCUUUUUGGACUGCCAGGUAGCAGGUGGCUUAGAGUGGGUCCACUACUGGUCAACGCUUUGGAGAGUGCUGGGACUAGUCUCGGGUGAUGUCGUUGGUUAGAUUGUUGUGUAGCUGAUUCGUCUAGAAGUUAACCUAAAUGUCUGUAAUUAAUUGGAGAGAGGGAUAUUUAUUAUAAAUUUGAGAGUUGAGGUUUUGGGCGUUGACUUGGUUGUAUUUUAAGUAAGAAGUCUUCCGCUAAUUUGUAUUCUGAUUGGUUGUA